rnacentral:rRNA from 1 species
GACUGCCCGCGAAAGCGGGAGGAAGGA